UAACUGUGGUAAUUCUGGAGCUAAUACAUGCAUAAAAGUCGAAACGUAAUAGUUUUGAUGCAGUUAUUGGAAUUAAAAUCAAGCAUCUUCGGAUGUUAAAGAUUGACUUCAAAUAAUUACACAGCUGAUCGCAUAGUCUUGUACUGGCGACAAGUCAUUCAAGUGUCUGACCUAUCAACUUUCUAUAUAAGUAUAUAGUACUUAUAUGGUUUUGACGGGUAACGGAGAAUUAGGGUUCGACUCCGGAGAAAAUGCCUGAGAAACGGCGUUUACAUCCAAGGAAGGCAGCAGGCGCGAAAAUUACCCACUCUCAGUACGAGGAGGUAGUGACGAGAAAUGACAAGAUCUAGUCCUUCGGGGCUGGAUCAUUGGAAUGGUUUGAUUUUAAAACCAUUAAAGAGUAUCAAUGAGAGGGCAAGUCUGGUGCCAGCAGCCGCGGUAAUUCCAGCUCUCAUACUGCAUUGAAUUGUUGUUGCGGUUAAAAAGCUCGUAGUUGGAUCUCUACAUGAUAGGUUGGUACACUCUUUGAGUUGUUACUAAUACUAAAUGUUUGUUUAUAAGUUUUUUUAUNUCUUUUAACGAANGNAUAAAUGACUUAUGAGUUUACUUUGAAUAAAUCAGAGUGCUCAAAACAGGCGUAAGCUUGUAUGGUUUUGCAUGGAAUAAUAGAAUAUGACUAUGGUUCAUGUUUUAUUGGUUUUACUUACCAUAGUAAUGAUUAAAAGGAACAAACGGGGGCAUCCGUAUCGCAGGGCGAGAGGUGAAAUUCGUGGACCCUUGC
rnacentral:rRNA from 1 species